rnacentral:rRNA from 1 species
AGUGAACGCUGGCGGUAGGCCUAACUCAUGCAAGUCGAACGGCAGCACAGUAAGAGCUUGCUCUUACGGGUGGCGAGUGGCGGACGGGUGAGGAAUACAUCGGAAUCUACUUUUUCGUGGGGGAUAACGUAGGGAAACUUACGCUAAUACCGCAUACGACCUACGGGUGAAAGCAGGGGAUCUUCGGACCUUGCGCGAUUGAAUGAGCCGAUGUCGGAUUAGCUAGUUGGCGGGGUAAAGGCCCACCAAGGCGACGAUCCGUAGCUGGUCUGAGAGGAUGAUCAGCCACACUGGAACUGAGACACGGUCCAGACUCCUACGGGAGGCAGCAGUGGGGAAUAUUGGACAAUGGGCGCAAGCCUGAUCCAUCCAUACCGCGUGGGUGAAGAAGGCCUUCGGGUUGUAAAGCCCUUUUGUUGGGAAAGAAAAGCAGCAGGUUAAUACCCCGCUGUUCUGACGGUACCCAAAGAAUAAGCACCGGCUAACUUCGUG